GCACCGGCUAACUCCGUGCCAGCAGCCGCGGUAAUACGGAGGGUGCGAGCGUUAAUCGGAAUUACUGGGCGUAAAGCGCAUGCAGGUGGUUUGUUAAGUCAGAUGUGAAAGACCCGGGGCGUCAACCUCGGAAUAGCAUUUGUAAACUAGGCAGACUAGAGUACUGUAGAGGGGGGUAGGAAUUUCAGGUGUAGCGGUGAAAUGCGUAGAGAUCUGAAGGAAUACCGGUGGCGAAGGCGGCCCCCUCGGACAGAUACUGACACUCAGAUGCGAAAGCGUGGGGAGCAAACAGGAUUAGAUACCCUGGUAG
rnacentral:rRNA from 1 species